CACAACCAACAAGCACAAAUAUAUAUUUUGAAUAAGAGGGUGGUUUACAACAUAGUAAUGGAGGAAAUAAGCGUACUACAAUACGGUUCAUCUACUUUGGGGGGGUUGAACAAAAGUGAAGUAAACUUCACUUCCCCAAGACAUAAGGAGGAACUAGGUGCUACUAUUCUUCAACUUCUUCGGACAGAACGGCUUCAUUCCCUUGGUGUAGAGGUGGAUCAUGCUUC
rnacentral:lncRNA from 1 species